GGUUAAGCGACUAAGCGUACACGGUGGAUGCCCUGGCAGUCAGAGGCGAUGAAGGACGUGCUAAUCUGCGAAAAGCGCCGGCGAGGUGAUAUGAACCUUUGACCCGGCGAUGUCCGAAUGGGGAAACCCAGUGCAAUCCGUUGCACUAUCGUUAACUGAAUACAUAGGUUAACGAGGCGAACCGGGGGAACUGAAACAUCUAAGUACCCCGAGGAAAAGAAAUCAACCGAGAUUCCCCCAGUAGCGGCGAGCGAACGGGGAGCAGCCCGGAGUCUGAAUCAGCUUGUGUGUUAGUGGAACGGUCUGGAAAGUCCGACGGUACAGGGUGAUAGUCCCGUACACGAAAGCACACAUGCUGUGAACUCGAAGAGUAGGGCGGGACACGUGGUAUCCUGUCUGAAUAUGGGGGGACCAUCCUCCAAGGCUAAAUACUCCUGACUGACCGAUAGUGAACCAGUACCGUGAGGGAAAGGCGAAAAGAACCCCGGCGAGGGGAGUGAAAAAGAACCUGAAACCGUGUACGUACAAGCAGUGGGAGCCUCUUUAUGGGGUGACUGCGUACCUUUUGUAUAAUGGGUCAGCGACUUAUAUUCUGUAGCAAGGUUAACCGUAUAGGGGAGCCGAAGGGAAACCGAGUCUUAACUGGGCGUUAAGUUGCAGGGUAUAGACCCGAAACCCGGUGAUCUAGCCAUGGGCAGGUUGAAGGUUGGGUAACACUAACUGGAGGACCGAACCGACUAAUGUUGAAAAAUUAGCGGAUGACCUGUGGCUGGGGGUGAAAGGCCAAUCAAACCGGGAGAUAGCUGGUUCUCCCCGAAAGCUAUUUAGGUAGCGCCUCGUGAACUCAUCUUCGGGGGUAGAGCACUGUUUCGGCUAGGGGGCCAUCCCGGCUUACCAACCCGAUGCAAACUACGAAUACCGAAGAAUGUUAUCACGGGAGACACACGGCGGGUGCUAACGUCCGUCGUGAAGAGGGAAACAACCCAGACCGCCAGCUAAGGUCCCAAAGUCAUGGUUAAGUGGGAAACGAUGUGGGAAGGCACAGACAGCCAGGAUGUUGGCUUAGAAGCAGCCAUCAUUUAAAGAAAGCGUAAUAGCUCACUGGUCGAGUCGGCCUGCGCGGAAGAUGUAACGGGGCUAAACCAUGCACCGAAGCUGCGGCAGCGACGCUUAUGCGUUGUUGGGUAGGGGAGCGUUCUGUAAGCCGUUGAAGGUGUCCUGUGAGGGGUGCUGGAGGUAUCAGAAGUGCGAAUGCUGACAUAAGUAACGAUAAAGCGGGUGAAAAGCCCGCUCGCCGGAAGACCAAGGGUUCCUGUCCAACGUUAAUCGGGGCAGGGUGAGUCGACCCCUAAGGCGAGGCCGAAAGGCGUAGUCGAUGGGAAACAGGUUAAUAUUCCUGUACUUGGUGUUACUGCGAAGGGGGGACGGAGAAGGCUAUGUCAGCCGGGCGACGGUUGUCCCGGUUUAAGCAUGUAGGCGGAGGUUCCAGGUAAAUCCGGUACCUUAUUAACGCUGAGGUGUGAUGACGAGGCACUACGGUGCUGAAGUGAUAAAUGCCCUGCUUCCAGGAAAAGCCUCUAAGCAUCAGGUAACACGAAAUCGUACCCCAAACCGACACAGGUGGUCAGGUAGAGAAUACCAAGGCGCUUGAGAGAACUCGGGUGAAGGAACUAGGCAAAAUGGUGCCGUAACUUCGGGAGAAGGCACGCUGAUAUGUAGGUGAAGUCCCUGCGGACGGAGCUGAAAUCAGUCGAAGAUACCAGCUGGCUGCAACUGUUUAUUAAAAACACAGCACUGUGCAAACACGAAAGUGGACGUAUACGGUGUGACGCCUGCCCGGUGCCGGAAGGUUAAUUGAUGGGGUUAGCGGCAACGCGAAGCUCUUGAUCGAAGCCCCGGUAAACGGCGGCCGUAACUAUAACGGUCCUAAGGUAGCGAAAUUCCUUGUCGGGUAAGUUCCGACCUGCACGAAUGGCGUAAUGAUGGCCAGGCUGUCUCCACCCGAGACUCAGUGAAAUUGAACUCGCUGUGAAGAUGCAGUGUACCCGCGGCAAGACGGAAAGACCCCGUGAACCUUUACUAUAGCUUGACACUGAACACUGGUCCUUGAUGUGUAGGAUAGGUGGGAGGCUUUGAAGCGUGGACGCCAGUCUGCGUGGAGCCAACCUUGAAAUACCACCCUUUAAUGGCUGGUGUUCUAACGUAGACCCGUAAUCCGGGUUGCGGACAGUGUCUGGUGGGUAGUUUGACUGGGGCGGUCUCCUCCCAAAGAGUAACGGAGGAGCACGAAGGUUGGCUAAUCCUGGUCGGACAUCAGGAGGUUAGUGCAAUGGCAUAAGCCAGCUUGACUGCGAGCGUGACGGCGCGAGCAGGUGCGAAAGCAGGUCAUAGUGAUCCGGUGGUUCUGAAUGGAAGGGCCAUCGCUCAACGGAUAAAAGGUACUCCGGGGAUAACAGGCUGAUACCGCCCAAGAGUUCAUAUCGACGGCGGUGUUUGGCACCUCGAUGUCGGCUCAUCACAUCCUGGGGCUGAAGUAGGUCCCAAGGGUAUGGCUGUUCGCCAUUUAAAGUGGUACGCGAGCUGGGUUUAGAACGUCGUGAGACAGUUCGGUCCCUAUCUGCCGUGGGCGCUGGAGAAUUGAGGGGGGCUGCUCCUAGUACGAGAGGACCGGAGUGGACGCAUCACUGGUGUUCGGGUUGUCAUGCCAAUGGCACUGCCCGGUAGCUAAAUGCGGAAAAGAUAAGUGCUGAAAGCAUCUAAGCACGAAACUUGCCCCGAGAUGAGUUCUCCCUGAGACCUUGAGUCUCCUGAAGGAACGUUGAAGACGACGACGUUGAUAGGUCGGGUGUGUAAGCGCAGCGAUGCGUUGAGCUAACCGAUACUAAUGAACCGUGAGGCUUAACCUU
rnacentral:rRNA from 1 species